rnacentral:tRNA from 1 species
CGAGAAAGACAUACAUAAGAACUGCUAAUUCUUACAACUGAGACUAAAACCUCAGCUCUCUC